AACGAACGCUGGCGGCAUGCCUAACACAUGCAAGUCGAACGAGACCUUCGGGUCUAGUGGCGCACGGGUGCGUAACGCGUGGGAACCUGCCCUUAGGUUCGGAAUAACGCCCCGAAAGGGGUGCUAAUACCGGAUAAUGUCUUCGGACCAAAGAUUUAUCGCCGUUGGAUGGGCCCGCGUUGGAUUAGCUAGUUGGUAGGGUAAAAGCCUACCAAGGCUACGAGCCAUAGCUGGUCUGAGAGGAUGAUCAGCCACACUGGGACUGAGACACGGUCCAGACUCCUACGGGAGGCAGCAGUGGGGAAUAUUGGAAAAUGGGCGAAAGGCUGAUCCAGCAAUGACGCGUGAGUGAUGAAGGCCUUAGGGUUGUAAAGCUCUUUUACCCCGGAUGAUAAUGACAGUACCGGGAGAAUAAGCUCCGGCUAACUCCGUG
rnacentral:rRNA from 1 species